GCCUGACUGGCUCAGUGGGUAGAGCAUGCAACUCUUGAUCUCAGGGUUGUGAGUUCAAGCUCCAUGUUGGGUG
rnacentral:tRNA from 1 species